AGAGUUUGAUCAUGGCUCAGAACGAACGCUGGCGGCGUGCCUAACACAUGCAAGUCGAACGUGAUCCAGAGCUUGCUCUGGUGAAAGUGGCGCACGGGUGAGUAACGCGUGGAUAAUCUGCCCGAUGAUCUGGGAUAACAUUUCGAAAGGGGUGCUAAUACCGGAUAAGCUCACGGGGUCUUCGGACCCUGCGGGAAAAGGGGGGGACCUUAUGGCCUUCUGUCAUCGGAUGAGUCCGCGUACCAUUAGCUAGUUGGUAGGGUAAUGGCCUACCAAGGCGACGAUGGUUAGCUGGUCUGAGAGGAUGAUCAGCCACACUGGAACUGAGACACGGUCCAGACUCCUACGGGAGGCAGCAGUGGGGAAUUUUGCGCAAUGGGCGAAAGCCUGACGCAGCAACGCCGCGUGAGUGAUGAAGGCCUUCGGGUCGUAAAGCUCUGUCAGAAGGGAAGAAAUGGAAGGGUGUUAAUACCAUCUUUUCUUGACGGUACCUUCAAAGGAAGCACCGGCUAACUCCGUGCCAGCAGCCGCGGUAAUACGGAGGGUGCAAGCGUUGUUCGGAAUUAUUGGGCGUAAAGCGCGUGUAGGCGGUCUUUUAAGUCUGAUGUGAAAGCCCCGGGCUCAACCUGGGAAGUGCAUUGGAAACUGGGAGACUUGAAUACGGGAGAGGGCAGUGGAAUUCCUAGUGUAGGAGUGAAAUCCGUAGAUAUUAGGAGGAACACCGGUGGCGAAGGCGGCUGCCUGGACCGAUAUUGACGCUGAGACGCGAAAGCGUGGGGAGCAAACAGGAUUAGAUACCCCGGUAGU
rnacentral:rRNA from 1 species